rnacentral:rRNA from 1 species
AUUGAACGCUGGCGGCAUGCCUUACACAUGCAAGUCGAACGGUAACGGGCCUUCGGGUGCCGACGAGUGGCGAACGGGUGAGUAAUGUAUCGGAACGUACCUUUCAGUGGGGGAUAACGUAGCGAAAGUUACGCUAAUACCGCAUAUUCUGUGCGCAGGAAAGCAGGGGAUCGCAAGACCUUGCGCUGAUUGAGCGGCCGAUAUCAGAUUAGCUAGUUGGUGAGGUAAAGGCUCACCAAGGCGACGAUCUGUAGCGGGUCUGAGAGGAUGAUCCGCCACACUGGAACUGAGACACGGUCCAGACUCCUACGGGAGGCAGCAGUGGGGAAUUUUGGACAAUGGGGGCAACCCUGAUCCAGCCAUGCCGCGUGAGUGAAGAAGGCCUUCGGGUUGUAAAGACUCUUUCGGCCGGGAAGAAAUCGUAUGGGUUAAUACCCUGUGCGGAUGACGGUACCGGCAUAAGAAGCACCGGCUAACUACGUGCCAGCAGCCGCGGUAACG